GAGGUAGAGGCGCAAUUUAUUAAAAGUAUCUUAGUGGAGUUAAGCACUAUGAAGCUAAGUGAAAGGAAUAGUUGCCGAAGUUAUAGAAAUAAUGCUUUAAGGGUUCUAUAGCUGGGGGUGUAUAUAAUAUAUGCAUCACUGUCACAAUUUUGUGGAGAGCUAUC
rnacentral:ncRNA from 1 species